rnacentral:rRNA from 1 species
GUAGUCUGCAACCCGACUACAUGAAGCUGGAAUCGCUAGUAAUCGCGGAUCAGAAUGCAGCGGUGAAUACGUUCCCGGGUCUUGUACACACCGCCCGUCACACCAUGGGAGUCGGAAAUGCCCGAAGUCUGUGACCUAACCGUAAGGAGGGCGCGGCCGAAGGUGGGUUCGAUAAUUGGGGUGAAGUCGUAACAAGGUAAC